rnacentral:tRNA from 1 species
CAACUAGUAGUUUAACGAGAAUAUUAAUUUUGGGUAUUAAAGGUAUAGAGAAUUUUCUAUUUUGUUGA